AUGUUGGGAGUAUUUAAAGUACAACUGCCUUCCAAGCAGGAAGCCCACACAUGGCCAACAUA
rnacentral:tRNA from 1 species